AGGUGCAUCGCCCCGUAGCUAUGUCGGGAACGGAUAACCGCUGAAAGCAUCUAAGCGGGAAGCCAACUCCAAGAUUAGGAAUCGUAAUUAGGGUCGUGGGAGAUGACCACGUUGAUAGGCGUUAGGUGCACGUGCAGUAAUGCACUCAGCCGAGACGUACUAAUAAUCCGACAGAACUCUCGAA
rfam:Candidatus Kaiserbacteria bacterium RIFCSPLOWO2_01_FTLL_54_13 rifcsplowo2_01_scaffold_14218, whole genome shotgun sequence.